UACGGAGGGUGCAAGCGUUGUCCGGAAUCACUGGGCGUAAAGGGCGCGUAGGCGGCUCAUGAAGGCUGUGGUGAAAGUCCGGGGCUCAACCUCGGAUCGGCCGUGGCGACUCGUGGGCUGGAGCACUGUAGAGGCGGGUGGAAUUCCGGGUGUAGCGGUGGAAUGCGUAGAUAUCACUUGGAACGCCAAUGGUGAAAACAGAUAGCUGGGGUUGUGCUGACACUGAGACACGAAAGCCAGGGGAGCAAACGGG
rnacentral:rRNA from 1 species